AUUGAACGCUGGCGGCAGGCCUAACACAUGCAAGUCGAGCGGCAGCGGGACCUUCGGGUUGCCGGCGAGCGGCGGACGGGUGAGUAAUGCCUAGGAAUCUGCCUGUUAGUGGGGGAUAACGCGGGGAAACUCGCGCUAAUACCGCAUACGUCCUACGGGAGAAAGUGGGGGACCUUCGGGCCUCACGCUAACAGAUGAGCCUAGGUCGGAUUAGCUAGUUGGUGGGGUAACGGCCCACCAAGGCGACGAUCCGUAACUGGUCUGAGAGGAUGAUCAGUCACACUGGAACUGAGACACGGUCCAGACUCCUACGGGAGGCAGCAGUGGGGAAUAUUGGACAAUGGGCGAAAGCCUGAUCCAGCCGUGCCGCGUGUGUGAAGAAGGUCUUCGGAUUGUAAAGCACUUUAAGUCGGGAGGAAGGGCAGUAAGCUAAUACCUUGCUGUUUUGACGUUACCGACAGAAUAAGCACCGGCUAACUUCGUGCCAGCCGCCGCAGUAAUAC
rnacentral:rRNA from 1 species